GGACCUUUAGCUCAGUUGGUUAGAGCAGACGGCUCAUAACCGUCCGCUCGUAGGUUCAAGUCCUACAAGGUCCA
rnacentral:tRNA from 1 species